rnacentral:rRNA from 1 species
GAUGAACGCUGGCGGCGUGCCUAAUACAUGCAAGUCGAGCGAACGGAUGAGAAGCUUGCUUCUCUGAUGUUAGCGGCGGACGGGUGAGUAAAACGUGGAUAACCUACCUAUAAGACUGGGAUAACUUCGGGAAACCGGAGCUAAUACCGGAUAAUAUUUUGAACCGCAUGGUUCAAAAGUGAAAGACGGUCUUGCUGUCACUUAUAGAUGGAUCCGCGCUGCAUUAGCUAGUUGGUAAGGUAACGGCUUACCAAGGCAACGAUGCAUAGCCGACCUGAGAGGGUGAUCGGCCACACUGGAACUGAGACACGGUCCAGACUCCUACGGGAGGCAGCAGUAGGGAAUCUUCCGCAAUGGGCGAAAGCCUGACGGAGCAACGCCGCGUGAGUGAUGAAGGUCUUCGGAUCGUAAAACUCUGUUAUUAGGGAAGAACAUAUGUGUAAGUAACUGUGCACAUCUUGACGGUACCUAAUCAGAAAGCCACGGCUAACUACGUG